UCACAUAUAUUGGGACAGAAAAAAUAACACAUAUCAUUUUAAAAUUACCAAAAAAGUAUUAUAAAUAAUAAUAAUUAACAACUUAAAAUAUCUGAAAGACAUUUUAAAAGGGUUAAUUUUGUAAUUUUAUCCAUAUCACAUAAAUUAGGACAAAGUGACCAGUAAUGUACGUUAUUUGAAAGUUACAUAAAAAUAUUAUAAAUCACAAUACUUAAUAACUUAAAACAUUUUAAAAAAAUAUAUGAAAAUUUGGAUGACUCUCCAAAUUUCAUUUGUGUCACAUAAAUUGAGACAACAAAAAUAACAUAUAUUGGGUCCAUUUUAAUUUAUUUGUCUUAUUUUUUAUUUUUAUUUUUUUAUAUUUAAAAAUUGCGUAAAAAUACUAUAAAUCAUAAUAAUUGACAACAUAAAAUAUGUUUAAGAAAAAUACAAAAAAUUCCACUGAUUCUUGAAGUGAAUCUAUCGUAAAAAUACUAUAAAUCAUGAUAAUUGACAACAUAAAAUAUUUCAAAAAUGUUGUAUGUGAGUAGUCUUAUUAUGCCUUAAAUGGCGUC
rnacentral:lncRNA from 1 species